rnacentral:rRNA from 1 species
UACGGAGGGUGCGAGCAUUAAUCGGAUUUAUUGGGCGUAAAGGGCGCGUAGGCGGCACAGCAAGUCGGGAGUGAAAGCCCGGGGCUCAACCCCGGAACUGCUUUCGAAACUGCUGAGCUAGAGUACAGAAGGGGCAACCGGAAUUCCCAGUGUAGCGGUGAAAUGCGUAGAUAUUGGGAAGAACACCUGAGGCGAAGGCGGGUUGCUGGGCUGAUACUGACGCUGAGGCGCGAAAGCCAGGGGAGCAAACGGG